UACGGAGGGUGCUAGCGUUGUUCGGAAUUACUGGGCGUAAAGCGCGCGUAGGCGGACCUGCAAGUCGGGGGUGAAAGCCCGAGGCUCAACCUCGGAACUGCCUUCGAUACUGCGGGUCUCGAGUCCGGGAGAGGUGAGUGGAAUUCCUAGUGUAGAGGUGAAAUUCGUAGAUAUUGGGAGGAACACCAGUGGCGAAGGCGGCUCACUGGACUGGUACUGACGCUGAUGCGCGAAAGCGUGGGGAGCAAACAGG
rnacentral:rRNA from 1 species